UGAAUCUGAAGCAUUGUUACAAGUGCCAUUUGUCCGAAGAUCUUUACCUGUCUUAUCGCUUGAUGAGCUUGCUGCUGGUGAUGUUCUUAUGAUUAUGAUCAAGUGGGUGGGAGUGUGGUAAUGGUCAGAAUCUGAAUGCAACAGCUAGUGAUGUUCGAAGGGAAGGGAGUAAAAUCUGAGAAUCAGCAUGUGAUGUAUUCUGAAGUCCUUCCACCUUGUGGGGUCCUCUUACACUGUUGUUGAUUCAGUAAACCCACAACGAAAAUCCUAGUUUUUUCUCCUCCUCUUCUCGUUUCAGAUUUGACCAGAAUGGCUCAAAAGCUUUGGAUCUGCAAACAUGGAAGGCGCGGAGUCAGAGAGAAAACUCCAUCCCUAUCCUUCCAAAAUGGACGAGCAUCAUGACAAUGCCGAACAAGGAAGAACAAAACCCACCAUUGAGUUUGGUCUUUUGUUCCGAGCCGUGUUUGUUCAUUCACAAAAUUGAAGAUUCCGGUUUCGAAUUCCGGUCAGAACCAAUGAACAUGAACAAGAAGAAAAAAAGGCAAAAACUUUUGGUCAAAUCUAAGAAGAUGGAGUUCAGAACUUACCCUUUGGAUUCAUUUUUCUUCUUUUUUUCCUUCAGCUAUAUUCAGAGACAGAAGCAACGACGUGUCACUUCCCCUGCAUUUCUCUCACAACCCAUCUCUCUCUCUCUCUC